rnacentral:lncRNA from 1 species
UUGAGGCAGCUGAGUCUGUUCCUCUAUCACCAUCGGAUGAUUUCUCGAAAGGGUUGAAAGCUUUGUCUAGGAGGAGUCGGCGAAUAACUCCACCAUCACCCAGGAUUAAUGCUCCUGUUCAAUUCAAAAGGCCUCCUCUAUUUCCUCGACGUCCUCCGCCGCCACGGUCACCACCACCUCCAUGUCUGUGGCGUCCACCUACUCCGUUUGGAUAAGACGAUUGUUUCCCAGGUUACACACAGUUGAUGAAGCUCUCAUGUCAUCAGCUUUUGUUCGUAAAUUGUAAAACUUUAAAGUGCUUGUAUGUUAGCAGCAAAUACCAACUUUGUUUAGCUCUAAUAAUAAUUAAAUUUGUAAUGAUAAAAAUAAUAAUAUGUUAAAUAUAAAAAUGAAUAAAUGUAUGCAUCACUUUCACUUAAACACUCGUUAAGAAAUUGUUUAAUAAGUAUCCCUUGUCUUCCUUUCCCAUCUCUUUGAAGUCUCCCGACCAUCUCUAUAUGCAGCAUAAAUGAUGAGCAGCUCCCCAUCAACGAGGACCUGGGUCCUCAAAGGCCAACUCAAAAACAACAAUCUCUACGUCUAUGGAGCCUGGACUGCAGAAACUGAGAAACCUCCAACUCCAAGCUCCCUGGUUCGGUGCAACUUGGACUUUCUGGGAAGGGCAUUAAAUACCCAACCACCAUAUUUAUUUUGGCCACUCCACUCCAGUAAUCAUUUGACUCUGGCAGCCAAACCAAUACGAAAGUCAAGUUGAUGGGAUGGGGGUCAAAAUUCAUGCACCAAGCAAUCUACGCUGCUAAACCCAAGACCAUUCUUCAGCUUGAUGAGCCCAAUGACCAGAGCCAAUGCUGUACGACUAGCUCCAUGAAACCCAAAAUGCAGCAAGAAACUCAUUGUAACGCCCCACUUUUGUUGUGUUUAGAUUGUUAAAGUAUGUUAAAUAAUUUAAUUUGGUAUGUGGUUAAGUGUCUAAAUGUUUGUUUUAGGUCUUGAGUUUAAUUCUUUUAUUUUGGAUUUUUUUUUAUUAAUUUUGAUAUUAUGUUAAGCUUGACUUUUUGGGCUUAUCUUUUAUUUUUAUUAGAUUGUUGAUAAGUAUAAGCUUACUGGUAUACUAAACCGUCCAUUAUCCUCUCUCCCCCUUUCACGUUUUUUAUCCCUGUUAUUGUUUUCUAUUUGGUUCUUACCUUUUUUCUUUUUUCUUUUUUUCUCUUUGAGCUUUUUCCUUUUCUUUUGCUUUGAAUCUCCGAUUUCGAUUAUAAUCCAAGGAUAGCGUAAGUUUUGUUAAAUUAUUUUGUUUUUAUUUUAGUGUUAAUUUAACUGAUAAAAUUUUAUACUAUUCAAAUGAUGAAAUUAUAUUUUUAUUAUUAUAAAAACUAAAAUUUAAUUUCAACCUUUCUAAAAAUAUUUUCUACCGUACCGUUCAUAAACAUGGCAUCAUAAGUCGAACAAAAUUUAUAUAAAUUUAAAAAAAAUUUAAACACGGUUAUGGAAUCAGAUUAUGCUUCCACGUGACAUUGAGGAAUUGUAUGUUCGUAACUGCUCUUUAUGUUGUCAUGAAAACUACCCGCUUUUCUCCAGGUUUGUCCUAACCUCUCUUACAUAUCUUGAAAUAAGGGAUGAAAAAAUUAUGAAAAAAUUGUUCUCUCCAAACUGCGUGCCGUUAAAUUUGGAAGUGCUUGAGGUUUCAUUACGUGUCCAACUGGAGGAAAUAAUAGCAUUAGAUUUUGAAUGGGACGGAAGAGGAAUGCCUACCAUGGAAUUUUGCCUUCUAAAAUUAAACAUACUUACCUGAAUUGAAGAGUAUUUGCAAUGUUGAUGCAGUGGUGGUUUGUGAAUCUCUUAAAUGGAUUGACGUAAUAGAUUGUCGGAAAAUAAAAAGUAUUUAGUCUUCCCCAAAUCUGAUCAUCUUCACCGGCUCUCUCAUUUUCUAUUUAUGUAGCGGGAGAGGAGUGACAUUGGCAUUACUUAUAUUUUCUUGUUUCUAGGCAACUUUGAUGAAUGCAAUUGCAAGCUGUAUUAUAUAUUUGAACCAAACCUCAUUUGUAAUAAGCUUUGGUUAUUGUAUUUUGAUGCUUGUUUCUGGUGUCUUCCUUUUCCAUUCAAUACUUUUCCUUCAUAAUAUUCUAUAUCAACAAAACGCUAUACAUGUUGGAAAAAUUAUGAUAUUUCAAAGGAAUCAAAUCUCAUAUUCUUAAACAAAGAUUUUGAGACAUUUGUUUAUAAAUCUUUAUACUUCGUGAGUUAGAGGUAAUCAAGUUGAGAAGGUAGAUUAUUGUGCAUUAGAUUCAAAAAGUUAUUGUAAUGGAUUUUUGAAUCUUCUAGUUUUUAAGAAUAUAUUUUUUUUAGAAUUUUUAGAGUCCAAGAAAAAUAAAAUUUUUAGCUAAUAAAACUUAUAUUUAUCCAAGUUAUAAAUAACUUAAUCCAUUGAAAUUAUUUUUAGUUAAAUCCAAAUUCAUUGAACUAUUUUCAAACUAUUUCACUUACCUUUGCUAUUUUUAGUCAAUAAAAUUCUUAUAUAUAUGGUUGGAAGCCAAUGCAACUUUUGGAUAAAAGCCAAAUUUAUCCUUUAAAAGAUAUAUUUUUUUUUGGAAGAUUCAAGAAUAUAAAAUAAAGAAAUAGGAUAUUAUCUAUAAGACUAGAUAUUAUACAUGAAUAUUCUAGUUUUUAAAUAUUUGUAAAAUUAAUAGUAAGGAUAUUGACAUGUAUCAACAAUCCAACGGCCACUAAACUCUAUAAAUAGGGGUAAGGGCUUUCAUUCUUGUAAUGAUGUAAGAAAGAAGUGUGUAUCAUAUUAUAAUUGUAUUGUGUAUUAAUAAGAGUGUUUUCUUCUUUUGUAAUUGUAAGUCUCAGUUAAACCUUAAGGGUUUGUUUGGUUGGGUGUAAUGGCUAAUCCAUUACACCCCGAAUCGGUGGCCCCACUGAAUACAGCGUUUGGUUCGUUGUUUUCUCUAAUACUGUUCUAAUCCGUUGCGGACGGAUUCCGCAUUUUGGCUGCUUCACCACUGAUUUGUAAUCCCUUGCAACAGCAAAGAUUAGCUAAUCGGUGUCUUAUUUACCCUCCCCUUGCCGAAAUCGCCUCCAGCCGACCCUCUCCCUCCCAACAUAAACAGAACGUGCCAACGAACCAAACCUCUACCCGCUCCCGAUUUCAGCUUUGCAUCCUUCUCCGACUCAAUGGUGUCAGAUCUCCGGACGGCUUGAAUCAGUAAUCUCUGCCAAACUUAUAACCUAUUUCUUUCCUCUUUGCAUGCGAUUGUUUCAGUCCUUGGUAAAUCGGCGUUUCGUUUCUUGCCGGUUAUGGUUUUUUUUUCAUUGUUUGUUUGUUUGUCCUGAAUUACAGGUUCUUUGCUCCAACAUUUUUCAUAUUCUGUCUGCUUUAUGUUUCUUUAUUUUGCUUACUGUCUUGGAUGAUUUUUCUUGACAGUCUUGUUAAUAUCAUUUUAUUUUGCUGCUGACUGUCUGCUUUAUGUUUCUUUCCAUAGGUUUAGUUGUUUGAUGAAAGUACUGGGGUUAACUGAUGCAUAAUCAAAUUUAGACGUUGCUUAAAUCACAAAUUUUAUUUAUUUGUUUGGUUUUCUUUCUUGAAAUUCAAUUCUUUUACUUGGUAACAAAUAGUGCAGCUUAGAAAGGAAUAUGAUUUGUUGAUGUUCUAUUUCUGUAGUGGUUUUUUGUUUCUCUAUUUUCUGUUUCUGUACCAUGUUUUGUUCCUUUUACCAUUUUUGCUUUUGUAGCUUAAUUUAUUAUCAAUGAUCAGCAUGUUCUCUUGUGUAGCCAUUUUAUUUAGCAUGUUUUGUUUCUCUAUCAUUUACACACUGUUGUUACUGAAAAUUAAAUCUAAAUUCAACCGAAUGACAUGGAAUUAUACAACAACUAACUUCAAAUAAAAACAUGAUUUUAAUCCAUUGUUAGAAGUUAAUAAUCCUUUUCCUCACUUAUAAACCAUGAACGCAUAUCAGUAGUGGGACAUUUGUAGAGAAAUUAAUAGAUCUGUUCCAACUGAUAUUCCUAGAGGUCUCAUAUUCUUGUUUGUGUUCCAACUUGUCAAGGAAAGGCUAGAUUUUGUAUUUCCAUUUAAAUAAUCUUCUUGACCUUAAUUUGUUUGUCAUUUGGCAUUGUGCAUUGUUAAAGGCUUGUUGUCAGUAUUUCAUAAUUUUCCUUAUAAUUUUCCCAUCCAUUAAUUUUUGGUUUUCUAUAAUUCUUUAAUAUUGUCUCAAGUUCCCAUCUGCAGUUUAAUAUAUUGAUUAUGUAAUCCACACAUCAUUAUCUAUCAAACUAAAGCAGUAGAGACAAGAUUGUGAAAUAUUAAAACUAGUCCAACCAGCUCAUGAUAUUGUUAUGAUGAAAGUACUUGCUGUGCAUUUUUCUUAGUCAUUUAAAUGAAUAAACUCAUUUAACAAUCUUGUGCUUUUCCAUGACAGAAAUAAGAAUAUUAUUUAUCUUUUGUAAUUAAAUUAUCUUUGAAAGGCUGUAUGAGAAUAUGUAUGUAAGCAAACUCUAAUUGCACUGGUAUUCCAUUUUCAUUUUUGUGAAAACAUGUUUAUUUUUCUAGUCAAAUGCCUAGAUGAUGGUUCUUGUCUUUAGAUUUCAAGGUUGUUAAAUCAGAAAACAACAUGCAUCUGUUAUUUAUUCAGACCGAACAUAAAUCGGUUAUGGUUUUUUUUUCAUUGUUUGUUUGUUUGUCCUGAAUUACAGGUUCUUUGUUGCUGCAGUUCAUCAUCGGUCUCCUCUCCGAUUUCCUCAUUACAGGUUAGUUUCCCCCCAUUGCUUGUGGCUAUACAAUUGUUUGCAAUGGCUAUAUAAUUUAUUUGCAGUGGCUCCAUCUGCUUGAUCAGUCAGAAAUGAAAACAAAGGACUAUGAAUGCUCAUGUCCUGUUUGGAUUUGUAUGCUUUUUGAUAUUUUUGUUGAAUAGAAACACUCUGAUAUUCUUUCAUGGCUACUGCAAUGUUGAAGUGCAUAUAAUGAGCUCUAGAAUGUCAUGCAUAGUCCUGGUGCUGUUAAUUUUGAAUGCUUUGAAAUGGCUUUGUUAAUUUGGUACUGUUAAUGCUUUGAUACAAAUGAAAUGGUGCAACUGUCGAAUAUUUAUGGUUAUAUGUCUACCUUAAAAGAUGUUUUAUAAAUUGUUUUCAUUCAUUAAAAAAACCAGGUUAUAAUUUAAAAAGGUGGUCAUAUGUUAUAUUCCUUUGUCCCCAAAACCAUUAAUGAGUACUAUAUAAUUUAAAAAGGGCAUCAAACUUUUGUACCAAUUCUUGUAUUAAAAAGGAAAUUCAUGGACAGAAUGUUGUUAUAAAAAGGAGCAAUAUAUAAUUUGGUACUUGUGUUUUUUCUUUUUUUAAUCUAUUGUUUGUAUUUGAUAAAUAUUUUGAUACUUAAAGAUAAUGGUGUACCAAUUCUUCGUUAUAAUUUAAAAAGGACAUCAAACUUUAGUACCAAUUCUUGUAUUAAUAUCAAUUAUGAUAAAAAUAUAACGAUUUUGAUACUUUCAAAGAUCUCGUUCAAAUUUAAUCAUUAUUAAAAUAAAUUGUGCUAACUUUAAGCUGAAAUAAAAAUUUUAUUUAUGUUAUUUAAGGUAUAUUAAAAUAUAAUUAAAAUCAUUUUGAUUAUAUAAUAUUUUUAAUUGAAAUAUAAUUAAAAUCAUUUUGAUUAUAUAAUAUUAAUAUAAAACUAUACAUUUAAAUUGAAAAUAUAAAUAAAACAUGGCAUAACAAUUAAAUUUUAAUAUUAAUAGAAAAAAUAUUUAUUAUUGAUAUUAAUAAUUCAAAAUUUUUUUCCAUAAUAUUUUUACCUGUGUGUUAUAAAUUAUUUAUUACUUAUGGAGUGUUUACCUCUUUAUUAUUAUUUGAUUACAAAAUAUUAUCAUUUUCUAUAUGUUAAACACAAUAUAUUAUUAAUUCAUUUUAUUUAUCUUUAAAAUAUUAAAUUUGUUAAUAGCUAUCAAUCAUUUAUGCAAAUUUUUACUAAUAAUUUUACUAAUUAAAAAUAAACACGUGCCAUCUUGAUUCUUUUAGAUUCAAGUUAUCCCCCAUAUAAUCCUAUCAACUCCCCCAAAAUUAAUAACCUAGUUGCUCGCAUUUUUAAUUUGUUUGUCUCUCAAUUAUUUUUAUAAAAUUUAAUUUGCAUCUUCAAUUCUUUGAUAGUGUGUUCUAAAUUAAUAUUGUUUAAUUUUUUUUAUAAAGUGUAAUUGCAACUUCAACUCUUUGAUAGUGUGUUCUAAUUUUAAUAUGUUGCAGUAAUGGCUCGUCUGCCUUUAAUUGCACAAAGUGUGAGGCGAAAAAGAAUUGGUAUUGCAUUGACAUUAUGGUUGGAACUCUGUAGAAUUGCGAUUUGGUUCUUAUUUAGAAUGGGUGCCAGCCUUAGCCUACAUACUUAUAGACCAAGGAUUAGGUCCUAUACCUUAGAUUUUUAUGCAAAACGGGAUUAUGUGAAAAGGCUUGUAUAUGCUAGUGACGAGACCUGUGUUUCACAAGUUAGGAUGAAUAGAACCGCCUUUUUUAAAUUAUGUGAGAUGUUAGAAUCAAUAGGGGGAUUGAAGUCGUCAAGAAACAUACUGGUUGAUGAGCAAGUAGCAAUGUUUUUACAUAUCAUCUCCCAUCACCUGAAAAAUCGAGUUAUCAAGCAUCACUUUAGAAGGUCCGGGGAAACUGUUAGCAGAGCAUUUCAUAGUGUUUUAAAUGCUGUCAUACGCUUACAAGAUGUCUUAUUUAAAAAGCUGGAGCCAAUUACAGCUGAUUCUUCUGACACAAGGUGGAAAUGGUUUAAGGUAUUAGACUGAGUUUUAUAUAUAGCUUGUACAACAUUUACUUGACUUAGAUUUAAGUUAGUAUUCUAACUCAAGGUUUUAUAUCAUGUGAUAUAGAAUUGCUUAGGUGCUCUUGAUGGAACCCACAUCAAGAUUAGGGUGCCAAAAAUAGAUAAAGCUAGAUAUCGAACCCGAAAAGGGGACAUAGCAACAAACAUGCUAGGUGUUUGUACACCUGAGAUGCAAUUUGUUUAUGUUCUUCCUGGUUGGGAAGGUUCAGUUGCCGAUGGACGGGUGCUUCGAGAUGCCAUUAGUAGAAGACAUAGACUAAAAGUUCCUCAUGGUACAGUGUAUAGUUAGAGGAAUUUGAAUUAUUCAUUUAGCCUACAUACUUUGUUUGCUGAAUUAAUCAUGUUGGGUAAAAUUUAUUUUAUAGGUUGUUAUUAUCUAGUUGAUGCUGGAUACACAAAUUCUGAGGGAUUUCUUGCACCAUUUAGAGGACAGCGAUAUCAUCUGAAGGACUGGCGUCAGGGUUAUCAGCCAAGUUCCCCGCAAGAGUUUUUUAAUAUGAAACAUGCCUCAGCACGUAAUGUCAUUGAAAGAUGCUUUGGCUUAUUAAAACUUAGAUGGGGAAUACUUAGGAGUCCAUCGUUUUAUCCUGUACGAGUGCACAAUAGAAUUAUUAUAGCAUGUUGUUUGCUACAUAAUUUUAUUCGAACUCAUAUGAGUAUUGAUCCCAUUGAAGCGGAGGUGGGAGAAGGAUUACCUACUAAUGUGGUGGAUGACGAUGAACAGAAUAUCACAAAUAUUCAUCCAUCGGAUGCUUGGGCUACUUGGAGGAUGGAACUAGCCACCCAAAUGUUCGAUGAAUGGCAAGCAUCUAGAAAUUAGUUAGGUUUAGGGACAAAUUGAGUUUGAAUUGAUUUGUUGAUGUUAUUUUAUGUAUCUAGUUUAUGAAACUUUGGUGGUCUUUGAUACAAAUUUUGUAUUGUACUAAACUUGGUUGAAUUAUAAUUUAAUUAUCUUUUCAUUCAGCAUGUGUUAUAAAUUUAAAUUUAGUAUUGAACUACCGAUAUAAUAUUAUAAACUGUUAACCUUUUGAUUCAUGAUAUUCAAAAUAGUAAAAUAAUGUUAAUUUGUUUUUUUUCUUAAGAACAAUAUGUCAGGUGUUCCACCAACGGGUGCUUCUUCUCAAGCUUCUCGAGGGAGCAAAAGAAAAUGGGUUCCAGAAGAGGAUGCAGCCUUGGUUUCUUGCAUGGUGGAUUUACACAAUGUAGAAGCAUUUAAUGCUGAUACCGGGUUCAAAGCCGGUUAUUUGAACGAGCUAGAGAAAAUGCUAGAAAAGGCUUUACCAACAGCAAUGUUGAAGGCGAAACCAAAUAUUGAAUCUCGGAUUAGGUGCCUAAAAAGGGAAUGGUCAGUCGUCUACGACAUGCUUAAUGGCCAAAACAACAGUGGUUUUGGUUGGGACGAGCAUAGGCAGCUCGUUGUUGCUGAAGAUGCAGUUUGGGAAUCCUAUGUAAAGGUAAAAUGUAUUUCAAGUAUUCAUUUGUUUUUUUACAAAACUUAUAACUAAUAUGAUUUCCUCAUUUUUUUAGAGUCACAAAGAAGCCUCUCAGUUCAGACAUCGUACUUUCCCUUACUACAACCAGCUUACUGCGAUAUACGCAAGAGAUCGGGCGACUGGGAAAGACGCUCAAACAACUGCUGAUGUUCUUGAAGAAAUACAUGCUGAGGAUGAACGUACUACAGAUAUGAAUGAAGAGAGAAACACAUUCUAUGACUGCGAAGCUGAGGUCUCUUUAGACGACAUGGAUGUUUCUGGUACAGAUCCGCGAGGAGAUAGAGACCAAGGGGGUUCCUCAUCUUCAAACAAGAGAAAGAAGAAAUCUGAUGCUCGUGAUAAUGUGUAUUCUUCAUUUGAGGAGGCUGCCACCUUAUUGGGGGAAAAAAUCCAGGCCGUUGGCGAUAAAAUCAGUAUGAGUAUUGCCUCCGAGGUGGUAGUUCAGCAGAAGUCAGAAUAAAAGAUGGAAGAGAAAGCUUCAAAUUUAUAUUCAGCCUUAUGGUCAAUUGAAGGUUUAACCGACGAUCAGCGGUAUAAUGCUUUGAGUAAAAUUCCCGAUCAUCCAACUCAAAUGAUCGUUUUCUUCAGUUUACCUUCUGUUGCCCGAUUGGAAUGGGUCAGAAGAUUUCUUUCUCACCAUUAAAUAUCAAUGUUCAAACUUUUUGAUGUUGUAAAACUAUAUAACAUAUGGAUUACGAUGUACAAUUUCAUUUUCAUCUAACUUUUUCUUAGUAUAAGUUAAUUAUAUUUAUGCAGAAUAUAAUUCUCAAAUUAUCUUGAUCUUAGUAAAUUCAUAAGAACAUUUUAUGAAAUUAUAUUUAAUAAUAAUUAUUUUAAAUUGUAUUUAAUCAUAUAUUUUAAUUAAAAUAUAUUUAAUAUUAAUUAUAGUAUCAUAUAUUAUGAUUUGAAUAAAUUAUAUAAGAAUAUGAAUUAUUAAGAAUUUUAUUAAAUUAUAUAUUUUAAUUAAAAUAUAUUUAAUAAUAUUUAUGUUAAUUUAUAUUUUACAGUAUCAUAUAUUAUGAUUUGAGUAAAUUAAUAUAAGAAUAUUAAUUAUUAAGAAUUUUAUUAAAUUAUAUAUUUUAAUUAAAAUAUAUUUAAUAAAAAUUAUGUUUAAAUAUGAUUAAAUUAUUUAUUACUGAUAAUAAUAAUCUUAUUAAAAUUUAAAUAACAAUAACAAUAAUCAUUUACCAAAACAAAUUUAUGCUAAUUAUAAGAAUUUUAUUAAAUUAUAUAUUUUAAUUAAAAUAUAUUUAAUAAUAAUUAUGUUUAAAUAUGAUUAAAAUAUUUAUUACUGAUAAUAAUAAUCUUAUUAAAAUUUAAAUAACAAUAACAAUAAUCAUUUACCAAAACAAUUUUAUGCUAAGGGUAUUCUAGUCAUUUUAGUUUUUUCCAGUAUGCUAUUACACCUCUAUUCCAUUCAACCAAACACAAGAUUACUAUUACGCCUCUAUUCCAUUACAUUCAACCAAACAGUGGAUUAGCUAUUACACCUCUAAUCCAAUACACCUCUAAUCCAAUACAGCGAACCAAACGCACCCUAAGUUUCUAAGCACUUAGUGCACUUGGAUUAGCUUUUAUAUAUAGUGCACUAAUAAGUUAAAAAACAAAAGAUUAACCGACUUCAGAAAUUUAGUGUAGCAUUAAUUGUAGGUCCGGCGAAAUAUCCUUAAAGACAGUAUCCAACACGUCUCUAGUUAUUCAACUUGUAUUUUUUAUUCUUUAAAUUGAAUAUUUACAAGAAUGCAUACCAACACUUUUAAUUCUUUGAUUUCUAUUCAUAUAUAUUUAUAUCAUCCAUAUUUAUUCAUACAUUCAAAGUUGGGAGAGCUGUUGUGAUUUCAUGAGCUUGGAGUCUUAAUUUAAUCCCGACAAAACCUUAACAAAUCAUCAGCAAAUGAGAUUCAGUUACAACCGAUUGGAUGAUCAAAGAAUAAAAAUUGUUUCUAUAGUUACGCAUCGUAUCGUGAAGAUUCGAGAAUCCUAAAGGAAUAAUUGAUAAGGGAUUAGAUUGUAAAGGGAUUAAUAGAGGAUGUGGGUAACAUGGAAGCAAACUUUGACAAGUGUCAGACUAUGCUAAGAACAUUAGUUGAUAAUUGAUUGUUAGAAAAUGUAGGAAAUGGAAGAGUGAAAAUGCAUGAUUUUGUAAUAGAUAUGGCUAAACUAAUCACCAAUGAGUUAUAUGAAUCAUGAAUUAUUAUUGCAACUUUAACCUAUGUAUAAUCAAGCUCCAACAUUUAUAAUUUUUUAUUAACUAAAAUGAUACAAUAAAUCAAAAACAAUCAAAACUUAAAAUAAUUCAAAUUUAAUAAAAAUCAAAAUUAAAAUUAACUUUGUUGAUAUGGUAAUGCAACGAGAAGACAUGGGGAAGGACAUGGUUGUGAUUAUGGAGGUUGGUUCAUCCAGUCGGGAUAGAGAGCCAAAUACUAUAGAGAGUGAGAAUGAAGAGAUAUGCAAACAAAGUGUUGAGGGGAACUUUUUUCAUCGUUCUUAGAAGUAUUUAUUGACGAGGUCCUGUAACAGCCCGAUUUUGGGUCUAGUCGGAACAGUGGUUUCAGGACCACAAAUCCGACGAGGAAAAAUGUAAUCGCCUGAAUUUUCAGGGGUGUCGGAACGGUGAUUCGAGAUCAUUGAAUCCGACAAAUAAGUAGAAAAUAUUAUUAAUUUAGUGAGUAUAAGUUAAAUGUGAAGUUAAAAAUUUUUUUGAAAUAGUGAAUAGUGCACUAGAAAUAAAUAUUAAAAUAAUUAGAAUAAAACACGAGGUAUCGAGACCUCAGAGAUUUUAAACCGAGCCAUAAAUAUUUAUAAAAAAUAUUUAUGGAGUGUUAAAAAGUUAGUAUUAAAGUUUCGUUAAAAAAUUUUAAAGUUUCGAUAAUUAAUUGAACAAAAAGAACUAAAUUGUAACAAAUGCAAAAUUAUGAGAAAUGAUUAAAUAGCUUAAAUGAUAAAAAGAAGAGGGUUUAAAAGGCAAAUAGACCCAAUGUCUAUUUGGGUUGGACGGCAAAGACAUGAAAUCAGCAAGAAAGUAAGGAGAAUUAAGAGCAAAAUUGGAAUAUUGCAAAAUUACUUAAUAAAGCUAGGAUCAAAGUAGAAUUAUGGAGAUUUCUCUUUAUUUUUCUGCAUUCUCAUCAGCUAAAACACCAUAGAAGGGUUUUCUUAAGCUGGUUUUUCAUAUUUUUACUGCAAGUUCAAUUCUUGAUUAUUUCUUGAAAUUUUUGUGUUUUGUGACUUUUACAACUAGGCCCACUUGUUGAAUUCAUUAGUUUUUAAUUUUAUGAAAGAAGUUGAAAGUUGCUAUGAAUAUGUGCUGGAAGUAUAUGAUGAUUUAGAAUGGAAUUAGAGCUAUCCUCAGAGCACUAGUAGAUAAUUGUUUGUUAGAAAAUGUAGGAAAUGAAAGAGUGAAAAUGCAUGAUCUUGUUAGAGAUAUGGCUAAACUUAUCACUCAUAAGUUGUAUGAAUCAUGAAUUAACAUUGCAACUUUAACACAUGUAUUGUUAAGCUCCAACAUUUAUAUUUUAGAUCAAUUAAGAUCAUACAAUAAAAAACAACCAAUCAAAACUUAAAAUAAUUCAAAUUUAAUAAAAAUAAAACCCAAAAUUAACUUUAUUGAUAUAGAAAUACAAUAAAGAGGAGAUAUGGGAAAGGACAUGGUGGUGAUUUUGGAGGUUGAUUUACCCAGUUGAGAGCGGAGAGCUAAGGACUACAAAGAGUGAGAUUGAAGAGUGUAUAUAGGCAAAAUGUUGAGGGUAAGUUGAUAGAGUAUAUGUUUGUAUGUUUGGAGAGUCAAUCAUUUCUUCAUCGUUCUUGGGGGUAUUUAUUGUAGGGGGUCUUGUGAAGGUUGUUAACAUGCUAAAUUUGCCAUCUAACCAUCAUUACGGAACGUGUGGGGAGAUGGGAUGAGAAUGCCUGUGAUGAGACAGAAUUUGUUAUUCAUUAUAAUACAAUAGUGCAGAGUAGUUGAGCUCACACGAGAGUUGGUAACCAACAAUAUCACGUUUUUACCAAAAGGUCAAGGGUUCAAAGCAAUGAGUAGUUCGUGUUUGUCUAGAUAGUUAGGACGAGAGAUGAAACUUGGGGCAGCCUUUGAAAUAUAAUAAAAAGCCAAAAACAAAAACAGGUUAAAAUGGUAAAAGGCUAAUCCAUCGCAGCUUCUUUCUCUCUACCUACUGACGAUAAGCAGCAAAUUUCAGAAUAUUAAACAUGACAUCAUAUGCAUACAAAACUUAUAUAAAUUUAAAAUUCUUAAACACAAUUACGAAGUCAUAAAAAUACAAACUGUCUUUUAAUUAAAUAUGGUAGGUGCAUUAAUUUAAAAUUCUUAAAGGAGUUGAUAUAUAGGGAGAUUGAUAAAUCAGUUUUUAUAAUAUCAUCAUUCAUUUUAUUAUUAACAAUUAAUAAGAUACUUUUAAUAAUUAUUUUUUAUUUUACAAACAAUAUUAAAAAAUUAAUAUAUUUUUAUUUUUAAAAUAUUUUAACAACUGUGUAACCAAUAAUUUCAUUACAUUUAAAUAAAAAUAUCUUUUUCCCAUUCUUGAAAGCUUCAAUCAAGACUUCGGCUUAGUUUGGACAGACGGUGUGUUAACCUCCGGUGAGUAGGGGUAAGCAUUCGAUCGAAUCGAAUCGAAUCGAAUAAAAAAUUUUCGAGUUAAUCGAGUUUUCGAAUCUCAUUUUAUCAUCCUAACUUUAUUUGAAGUUUUCUCGAAUCGAGUCGAGUGAGAUGUAAUUCAAAUCGAAUCGAAUCGAAUAUAUUUGUUCGAGUUAAAUUUUAAAAAAUAAUUUUGGAUCCUUGUAACCAUUGUCACCCAUCGUAAUAAAAUUUGUCCACCUUAAUCAAAUUUUUUAUUAACUUUCAUCACCUCAUAAUUUAUUUAUUAAUUUUUUAUAUACUGGUUAGCUUAUUUGUUUGCUUAGUUGUUUCAAUUAUCUUCGGAUUCUUGUCACUAUGUAUUUUGGAAUUAAAAAUAUGAUUUUUUAAUAAAAUUUAUUUUAAAAAUAAAAUUUGAAAUUGAUACCAAUAUAAAAUUUUAACACGAAUAUUUUAUGGCAUAAUUAAGAAUUCAAUUUUAAUAUAAAUAUUCAAUAUGACUAAACAAUUCAAUAAUAUAAAUAAUAUAAAAGUGAAAUUUAAUUUAAUAAUAUAAAUAGUAUAUAUAAAUAAAAUUAUUACUAUUUAUGUUUAGUGAUUUUUUUUAGAUAAUUUUGAUUUUUUAUUUGAGAGUAAAGGAUGAGAAGUAAAAGUUUAGGGGGAAAAUAAAAAGUUUUGGGGAAUAAAAGUUUGAGGGAAAGUAAAUAGGGGGAGUAAAAUUUUGGAGGGAAAAUAUUUAAAAAAAAAAUUGGAGGGGGGAGGGUUUGGGGUAGAUGGGAGGUGGGAGGUGGGAUGGGAAGAGAAUAAAAGUUUUAGGGGAAAAGUGGGAGGGAGUAAAAAUUUUGGGGGAAAAUAAAAGGUUUUGAGGGUUUUUGAGAGUAAAAUUUUGAAAAAAAAAAUGAAUGGAAGAGUAAAAUUUUGGUGGGAAAUGGAUUUUGGGUAGAUUGGGGGGUUGGGCGGGGAGGGGAGUAAAAGUUUUGGGGGAAAAGUGGGAAGGAGUAAAAGUUUUGAGGGAAAAGUAAAAAAGUUUGGGAGUUUAGGGUAAAACUGUAAAAUAUUAUAGUUUGAUAUUCGAAUUAUUCGAAUUAUUCGAGUUAUUCGAAUUCGAAAACUCAACUCGAUUCGAACUCGAAAUUCGAAAAAAAAAUUCGAGUUGAUUCGAAUAACUCGAUUCGUUCAACUCGAAAUUCGAAUUUUUUUUCGAUUUUUUCGAGUCGAAUCGAAUUUUGCUCACCCCUACCGGUGAGGUAAAAAACAGCGGUGGCGAUGAGAAUAGUUACUGUAGCAGUGAGAUUAGAAACAAUAGUGGAAUGUGUGUUUGGAUUCAAACACAGCUGUAGCGGUGAGGUGAGAAUAAAAAAUGACUAUUAAAGACAUCAGAUUAGAAUUGAUAUGUAAUAGAAGUUUUUAAAUUAUUUUACUUUUAUAAAAUUAUUAAAAUAUGUGAAUUUAUAAAUUAAUUUAAUAAAAUAUUAAAAUGUGUCUUCCAAUAUUUUAUUAUAAAUAUUUUAAUAAAUUAUAUAAUCAAUUUAAAAUAUUUAAUAGAUAAAAUGAUAAUUAUUUUUAAUUUUUUAUAGUUAAAUAUUCUUUUAUAACAAUAAUAAAUAUUAUUUUCACAAAUAAUAACAUUAUACUUGGAUCAAAUUUUGAUGUAUCUAAACGAAUAAUUUUUAAUAAAAAAAAUAGUAACAUAAGACAUAACAAGUUUUAUUAUUACUAGAAAUUAAGUUAUGAUACAAAAUGUUUUUAUAAACAUGAAUUCAUUAUACUAUAAUACAAAUACACUCCGAACUUAUAGUACUCAAAGUUGUUCUUUUGAAUGAAAUUGAUGAACACUUUAACAGCAGGAGAGGUCUCGAUGAAACCCUUGAAAAAACCUUUAAAUUAAAUUUUUUUACCAUGGUACUUAAACUUUUCUUUUAACCUAAAUUGAUACAUAAAAUUAUAUUUCUGUUAACCAAUUCAGUCCACCAAAAUUAGAGUAUACCACGUGACGCUUCAGUUCAAUUAGAAAACUCCACGUGACAUUCAUAAGUACUAAAAGGAAAAAAAUAGAUUUAUAAAUUCUAAAACUAAAUAAAAAUUUUAAAUUUAAAAAUAAUUUAUCAAAUAAAAAUCUAAUUAAAAAUUUUAGUAAGCUAUCAUUUUAUUUUGACUCAACAUUGAUUAUAGUUGGCCUAAUAGUAUUUUUAAGUUUUAUAUUAUUUUUAGUUUUCAAAAUUUAACUAUUUUUUUAAUUCUAAAAUUUUGAUUAUAUUUUUUUGGUUUUUUUAAAACAAAUAUUUAAACUAUAUAUAUAUAUAUAUAUAUAAGCUCUAGAAAUCUGAAAUAAUUUAAAAAAUAUUUGUUUCAAAAAGGCAAAAAAACAGUAUAAUAAUUUUUUAAAAAAAUUGGAAAAAUAGUUAAAUUAUGAUAACUGAAAAGAAUAUAAAAGUUUUUAGAAAAUUUUUAAAAAAUUAAAAAUAUUUUUCACACAAUAUAUAUAAAUCUUAAAAUAAUUUUCUAAUAUAAAACUUGAAAAUACUAUUAAGUCAAAAUCGAUCAAUCCCGGUCAAUUUCAUUUCAAAGUCAAAUGCUAAUUUUCAAAAAUUUCUAUUUUAUAAAUUAUUUUUAUAAUUUUUAUUUAUUAUUAAACUUUUUUAGAAUUUAGAAAUUUAUUUUUAUUUUUAAUAGAUAUAGAUGUCAUGUAACACUUAAUUUCUAAUUGGAUUAAAGUGCCAUGUGACACAAUUUAAUUUGGCCACAUUUCAAUAAUUUUUUUAACAGUGGUGGACUGAAUUAGUUAACAAAAUGUAACUUUAGGAAUCAAUUUGGCCAAAAAAAAAUUCAGGUACUAAUAUGAGAAAAAUGAUAUACUUUAGGAGACAAAUAACAUGAACCUUUAUAUUAGGGGUUAGAUUACAUUUUGUCCCCUCAACUCAAAAAUAGACAAAUUAGUCGCUAUAUGUUAGAUUAAUGAGUAAAUUGGACAUUUUGUUAAAUUUUACAUCAAUUUCUAUUGAUAAAAUCUAGUUCUUGUACAUCAUCAUGAGAUACAUAUGACACACCACAUGUAAUUGUUUAGUUAUUACAUUAACCCUAUCAGUUUUUAACAUAUAUAUCACAGUAUAGUACCCGAACUUGACAACUUGUACCUACUUGACACUUUUUUUUUUACCUAAUUGGUUCAUGAACUUGAAAACUGCAAAUUAACUUAAAUUUUUAGAUACUUGACUAAUAUUGCCAAAUUUAUCAUCUUCAAUCAAUUAGAUUAUGCCAUGUAUAUUAAAGAACCAAGUAUAUUAUGUCACGUGUACAAAAAAUAAUUUAAUUUAAAUUUUUUUAAUUGUUAUUAAUUAAAAUAAAAAAACUUCUAAUUAAUUAACUGAUAUUUUAUGUCUACUUCCGUUUCUUCUUCUUCUUCUCUAAGUUUCAACCAAAUCUCUAGUCCGCCCUCGUUCUCUGCGCCAACAUUGCCGGCUCUCAGUUUGGGUAGUUUGAAUCAAGGGACUCUCUUCUCCCCUUUUAUUAUUUUUUUCUUUUUAUUGAUUAUUGGCUAUAGGUUUAUUGAGUCUUUGGUUGAGUGGUGGGCGACGAGUUUGAGGCUUGUUUUAGGAGGGGUCAGGUGAGUCAGGGUCGAUAAUCGUGCAUGUCACAACUGUAUUUUAUUCGGAUUAAGCUCAAUUCGAAUUACGUGUUUUUUUUUUAAAUUUCUUAGUUAUUAAUUAUUAUUUAUGGGGGACGGUUUUACAAAGGGAAGUUGAGUAAGAGAAGAAGGGGGAUUAUCUCUAAAAGAGAAGUCUAAAGACUACAGCUCCAUUUCUUUCACCUCCAUUGAGUCUCAUACUCUAAUUACUUACAUACUACCAUCAAAACCCCACACAUUUCCUCAACCUUGACCGUUAACCCGUCCCUGGGUUUGAAACAGUGAAAGCAUUCAACUUUGGUUACUGGACAGUGAUGAUUCCAAGGAAGACCGGUUUCCAUCAUAUUUGUGACCAAACAAAGAGUCUGCAACUUUAUUAAGGAGAAGAAAAGGAAAAAUUGAAGAGGCCUUCCUUGACUCGUGAUAUUCAAAUCUCAAAGUACCAUUAGUCCCAUUUGCAUUAUUUUCAUCCUUUACCUUCACCAUCAUCUUAUUAUCAUCAUCAUUUUCUAUGUUGUUGAAUGUCAUUCUGAUGUUGAAAUAUUAUGGAAAAUUUACGUGUGUCAUGUAGUAUAUAUAUUUGGACUAUUUUGGUCGAAACAUUUUUUUAAAUAUUUAUAUUAUUUCAAUAGUUAUAGUUGAAAAUUUUUAAAUGAUUUAAAAGUUAUAGCACUUGAUUAUUAAUCAAGAGUUUUUACUAUUUAUAAUGAUGAGUUAUAUUUUUUAUUGUUAAAAGUGAUAUUAUUUAAUUAUAUUUAUUUAAAUAUGAAUAAUUAUAUUUAUUAUAAAAAGAUGUAAUUGUCUAUAAUUGGCAGUUAUAAAUUUACGAAGAGACACAAAAACUCUUAUCAUUCAUUUGUUUAAUAGAAUAAAAUAAGAAACAAAAAUUUCUUUUCAUUCUCUUCCAUCUUUUGCUAUUUUUAAAUUGUUGUAUAAAAAUUUAAUGUAAAAAAUCGUUAUAGAAAUCAUGCAUAAAAUAAUAAAAUCAUGCACGCACUAACACUUAUCAAAUUAACUUGUAUCAUUAUCAUUGACGUUUAGCACAAACCUGCAUAAAAUCAUGCUUUUUCUUCCUCAAGUGUAUUUGUAAAAUAUUUUUUAUAAAAUAAUAAGAUAUCCUUUUGACACGAUAAUACUAUUGGAAGUCAUUGUUAGGAUUCUGUAAAAACUUUAAAUAAUUAUUCAUUGUGAAAAAAAAAUAAGAUUUUUAAAAUCCAUUUAAGAAUGAUUGCCGAAUUCAAAUAUUUGAUCUACUAUAGUUAAAUCCUAAAAGUAACUCAAAUUUAAUAGAAAAAAUUCCCAAAAUAAACUUAAUUUCUUGAAAUGUAAAUUAGUCUAAUCCAAAUCAAAUGAGGUAAUUAUCGCAUAGCAAAUGUCAACAUUUUCAUGAUACAUCAAAUAGAAAAAGACAAUAUAUAGCACUUAACCCAACUUAAUAAAAUUAUGAAAAUUGUAGGUGAAUUUUGAUUAAGUGAAUGCAGGGAGAGAAAAUCCAUUUGAGUUGAGUGUCAUUUCUAGUAGUGUGUGAAAUCGUAUUAUUUGCAACUUGUAAGUAAGGUGGUUUAUUUCAUCUCCUAACAAGUUAAUUCAAAGAAGUAUUUAUUAAAUUUCACAUUUUUAAAUUUUGCGGUGACUGUCUAUUUUUAUCCAUAUAUAUAAUCCCCAAACAUGUGUUCUAAAACUAGUUCACACCUAUUAGGCACAUGAAACUGUGGAAGAGUAAAAGAAUAAAAAUUGGACUUAUUCAACGGUUGAGUAAUUCGUUCGGUCCGAUAAGUUCGACUUAACUUUGGUAAUCAACUCAAAACUUUUAAAAUUCUAAUUAACUUAAAGUAUUUUGGCACUAAUUACGGCUAUAAUUGGAUGAAGGAUAUUUGCAAUAUUAUCACAUUAUGCACCUACAAAUAUAUGAUUCUAUUAAGAACGUUAACUUUGUCAACUCCGGGGUGAUUAAGUUAGAAAUAUAUAAUAAUAAAAUCAAUAGAAAACAAGCAAAAUGUCAAACAACCACAUUUUGAAAGUUUGAAAUUUAAUUUUCAACUAGAAUAUUCUAGGAUUUGCUUCUUCAAUUACAAGACCAUCACUAGUUUUUCUUUAAGUCACAUAGUUGUAUUUCUUUCCUUAUUCCAGUUCUUGAUUCGGUAUAUCUUUGCUAUAUAUUGUAUAUUUAUGAUAUCGUAGCCGCUUCUGUAGCUUAUUUCUGCGGUGUUCAUUUUAUAUUCAAAGCCAAUCAAUUCUUGGUCUCCGGUAUGUUUCACUUCAGCCUUUACUAAUAGGGAUUGGUAAUUUGAAGAUAGAAUUCUGAUGAUGGUUGGAUUGAUCUCUGUGAGGAUUCUUUGUUAAAUGGAUUCAGAAUGAGUGCAGGAUAUUGAAAUUAUUUCAUACAAGUAUUUUUAAUUUUCUUUAACAUCUAUAAUUUACAAUAUAGAAAAGAGAUUGCCAUUUUACUCGUGAGUGAAAGGCUUUUUAAUUAUGCCCCUCAAUUAUUGCUUUCAUUUCAUUAAUCGUUAGAUGAGAGCUUUUCUUGAUUUACAUGUCUCUAUAGAACCCACAUAUUUAAUAUCUUGUUAAAAAAUUUGUGGAAUCCAUGUAUGCACAGAAAUUUAGACCUGACAAUGCAUUCUUAGUUUCUAACAUAUUGCAUGUUAUGCAGCAUUCCUGACUGAGAGCUAUGGAUUAUUUUCUGAAUAAGAUUGAUAAACACUUGGACAAUCACAGAAGCCUCGAUCAGAAUAAGAAUGAGCUUAAAAGGAAAUUAAAUGAUUUGAACGGUCUGAAGGAAGACAUAGAAUCUAGACUGAGCUCAGAGCUGCAGCCAACAAAGAAACUAAAGAAAGGGGUCCAAAUAUGGUUGGAAAAUGUUGAAAGAAUCAAUGGCGAAAUACAAAGCCUUGAUGGAAGAAUCGGAGAAAGCAGUGCUCUUACACGUGGUUUCCACGCAAAAGAUGUGUUAAUGAGGAUGAAGGAAGUUGAAGAACAUAUUCAACAAGGCAAAUUUUGUGAAGGUUUGGUGGUUGACAAUCCUCGACGGAUUGGACAAGUUUUAUCGACUUCAACUCUAUCAGGUGAAGCUACGAAGUUAUGCAUCGAAGAAAUUUGGCAGUGCUUGAUGAAUGAUGAGGUUCGAAAAAUUGGAGUUUGGGGGAUGGGAGGAGUAGGGAAAACAAGCAUUAUGAAGCAUAUAAACAAUCGACUCUUGAAAGAGACCCACAAGUUCGAUGUUGUGAUUUGGAUCACUGUAUCAAAGGAGAUGAGUCUUGCUAAACUGCAGAAAGACCUUGCAAGUAAACUUGAUGUAAAAUUUUCUGGCAAUGAAUGUGAAACAACAAGGGCAGGGAUGUUGUUUGAAACAUUGUCUUUCAAGUUCAGUAGGUUUGUGAUCAUCUUGGACGAUGUAUGGGAGAAGGUUUCCUUUGAGCAGGUAGGAAUCCCUGAGUCAUCUAAUGGGAGUAAAUUAGUGUUAACAACGCGAUCACUUGAUGUGUGUCGACAUGUGGGUUGUAAUAGAGUAAUUCAAAUAAAGCCUCUUGCUGAAGAAGAGGCAUGGAACUUGUUCUUGGAGAUUGUAGGUGGGAAUAUUCUAAAUAUUCCAGGAUUGGAACCAGUUGCAAAAUCAAUAACUAAGCAUUGUGCGGGUUUGCCCUUGGGAGUAAUAGUUGUAGCUGCUUGUAUGAAGGGACUUGAUGACCUUUUUGAAUGGAGGAAUGCGCUAAAGGAACUAAGUUUAGCAAGACAAAGUGUUAAUGGAUUGGAAGAUGAGGUGAUCCAACAAUUGCGAUUUAGUUAUGAUCGUUUAAAGGAUCAAAAACUUCAACACUGUUUCCUCAACUGUGCCUUAUAUCCUGCAGAUUUUGCAAUCAGAGAGAUAGAUCUUGUUCAUCUUUGGAUUGCAGAAGGGCUUGUCGAAGAAAUGAACAGUAGGCAAGCAGAGUAUGACAAGGGUUGUGCAAUAAUGAAUAGACUCAUAAACAACUGUUUGUUAGAAGUUCCUACGGAAACAGAAAAUGGAAGAUGUGUAAAGAUGCAUGAUCUUGUAAGGGACAUGGCAUUACAUAUCACAUGUGGAACACCUCGAUUCUUGGUAAAAGCUGGCAUGAGAUAAACGGAGCCACCAGAUAUACAAGAAUGGAGAAAGGACCUAGAAAAAGUUUCAUUGAUGGAGAAUUGGGGGUUACAGCUUCCCUAUCCUUUGGAAAUAUUGCCACCAAAGUGUCCGAUGCUCACAACACUAUUGUUUUCUGGUUGUAAUAUACAAAGCAUUCCAGAAGGCUUCUUCAAGCAUAUGCACGGACUCAAGAUUCUUGAUCUUUCUGCAAAUCCUAUCAAGAAUCUCCCAGAUUCCAUUGCUAAUUUGAAGAACCUCACGGCGCUAUUGCUUCGUCAUUGUCGAAGUUUAGAGAAGGUGCCAUCAUUGUCAAAACUUAAAGUCUUGAAGGAGUUGAAUCUUGAAGCAACAAGUAUCAAGGAAAUCCCUUGUGGGAUGGAAAACUUGUUGAAACUCAAUUACCUGAAUUUGAAUGGUAUAGGAGACCUAUAUGAGAUUCCUGAUCGAGCAUUAUCAAAACUUUCUUGCCUUCAAGACUUGAUUGUUGGUGAAACAGUGAUAAGUGGAGAAGAUGUUGGUGGAUUGAAGAAACUGGAAAUUCUUAAAGGGAGGUUUUUCGACUUGCACAACUUAAAUGCGUAUGUCCAAGCUUUACAUGGUCGAGAAGAACCUCUUGAAUACAUCAUCCGCGUGGGUGAGCGAGGAUGGGUGGAGCAAAUUAAUACAAGAAAGUACAUAGAGUUAUGUGGUUGUAAUAUCUAUACCAAUCAGAUUAUACUUCCACAUGUUGAGGAGUUAUACAUUAAGGAGUGCAAUCUCAAUUGUAGCGAAGGGUAUCCUCUUUUCUCCAGGUUUAUUCUAAUCUCACUUAGCACAUUCUCCUCUCUUAAAUUUCUUGAUAUAUAUAAUUGUAAAAGCAUAAAAAAAUUGUUCUCUCCAAAUUGCUUGCCGCUAAAUUUACAAGAGCUUAGCGCAUCGGAGUGUAACAUGCUAGAGGAAAUAAUAGCAAUAGAACUUGGAUGGAAUCAAAGUGAAAAGGCUACUAUGGAGUUUCAUUUACCACAAUUAAGGUUAUUUUCACUAUGGAAUCUACCAAAGUUGAAGAGUAUUUGCAGUGUUAAUGGAGUAAUCGUUUGUGAUUCACUUGAAAUAAUUGAGGUAAGAAAUUGUCCGAAAUUAAAAAGAAUGCCUCUUAAUCUUUCCCAACUUGAUAAUAUUAGACUUCAACCAUCUGGCCCUCUCUCUCCUCUUAUUUGUAUAAAGCCAGAAGAGUGGUGGGAAUCCGUGGAAUGGGAUCAUCCAAAUGCCAAAUCUAUUUUAGAGCCCUUGUUGAGGUCUUGCUGGUAGUGUUGAAUUUACAUUUAACUCCAAUGAUUUUUUUUUUUCAAUUAACUUCUAAUUGCUAUUUGUAUUCUAAAUUUUGUACAAGUGGAAUAGAAAUUCCUCACUUUGGAAUUAUGGAAAAACCAACUGAAACUUUUACUUGUUCAAAGCCGAAACAUGGUUAUAAUUUCUUUCAUGAAAACUAUUACGUGAAUUCAUGUUUUUAGUGGUGGAGCUUUAUAUAAAUUUAUGUUAUGACUGAAUAAUUGUAGGAUUGUAUUAAACUAUUUCGAAGCUGGAAGCAGCAUAUUGCGGGUUAACGUGCAGCAAAUGUGUAACAUUUUAGCAGUUAAGGUGUGAUUGUUUUAAGUUAAAUUGAAUCUAAGUUAAUUAAAGAUGUAAUUGAGUUGAGCCUAAAUGUUGAAACAGUGAAAAAACUAAUUUUAAAUUUUAUUAGAAUUGAAUUUGAUUAAGUUUUAUUUUUAUAAUGUGAAAAGAUGUUGAUUUAGUAAAGAACUAAUUGAAGCAUAGAAAAAAAUAUGACUGAAGGGAUAAUUUAAUUCAUUAACAAAGUAGCCCUUAUAUAAGUGUCAAGUAACAACUUCAACAAAAAAUUCAAAUUGCUACUCCUACUAACAAGCUAACAAAAUCAACUUAGGACUUAGUCUUUUUUUUGAAAAAAAAAAUAGAUGCAACCUUGAGACACCAACAUUCUUCUCGUAACUCAAGUGUUGCAAACACCAAGUUUAUUCUUAAGAAACUCAAAUCGACUAACAUGAAAAAUUUACUGAAAAUAUCUGUCAUCUGAUCCUCUGAUUUGCAAUAAACUAAUAUCUUCAAUAUUCGCCUUCUAUGAAUUCCUUCUCAACUAGUGUAGCUUCAAGAGUUGCCUCCAAUUGUUUCCUAGCGUGCAACUCCAUUUGCAUCAAAAUUUCCAUAAUUCAAAAUCAUCACAAGCUGUUCUAGAAAAGUCAUGAGAGUGGUUAGAGUGCCACUCUUCUUCCAAGUUCUUGUGUUGUCACUAUACUUGAGAUUAAUACCAUUUAUAGUUUGAUUAACAAAUCUUCUCACAGUUAAUAAUUCUUUUUUCAAUUUUGCAUUUUGCACUGAAAGCUGGAUCAGCUUAACAACUAAAUUCUUAAACUCAACAACAUCUACAGAUGUCAAUUCUUUCGCAUAUGAAGCUUCUUCAGUCAGCUUUUGAUUUUGGAAACCUAACCCACUAUUCUCUUCUGAAAGUUGCACAUUACUCUUGAUUUCCUGAGAUAGAAUUUUUUUUUCCGUAGCUAAUCAACAGGUUCUUCAAAUAUUUCUUGUGCAAAAGAUGAUAGUUUAUCAUCAGAGAGAGAUGUCAACUGCUGCCCCAAGAGAUUUACCUUUGUCUACAACUCCUCAUUCUCAAAACACUUGAUUUGCAGUUGUUCUUGAAGAAUACGAUUCUCUGCCAAUUUUAUUUGAAGCUCAAAGCUUUUUUUAUUACAUUGUGUCAUCAAUUUUAUAAUUGUUUGUUGCAUUGAUGUCAUUUUUUCCUGACAAUUGGAUGCCACUUGCUCCUCCUCAAGUGGAUUCAAUGAGAAACUUUUCUUCUGCAUCUUGAUCCUAAACAAUUCAUUGCCACUAGAGUCAAGGAUCAGGCCCUUCCCUCUUCGACUUUAAUGACCUGUCAAGGUCUUUAAACAGCUUCUCAUCGUAAGACAUGUGAUUGGUACAACCACUAUCAACUAACCAACUGUCACAUAGAGUGCUUGAUGAGAAGCAAGAGACAACAAACAAAUGGUCUUCUUCUUCUUUAACUGCAACAUGUGCUCCACCUUGCUUCUGAUUUCCCAGUUCCUUGCAGAACCUCUCAAUGUGCCCCAUCAAGUUGCACCUUUUGCAUUUCACAUCUGGCCUUCUCCAACACCUGAAAUGGGGAUGAUUCUAUUUUCCACAAUACUUACAUGAAGAAUACUUAUUAUAAUUUUCAGUACUAUUACCUUUUGCAAUAGUUUCUAAACCACUAUUGCAAUCACUCUUCUUCUCAUUCCACUUCUAUUCCUCUCCUUUUUCGCCUUGCUGCAUCUUAGCCUUCAAUGCUUCUUUCUAUGCUUCCUUCGUGCCUCAUAAGCCUCUUUUGCUCUUGUGCUUGUAAAACACUGAUCAACUCCACUACUCUCAACUGAGUCAAGUUCUUAGUGUUCUCCAAAGAGGCAAUUGUUGCUUCAUAUUUCUCAUAGACACGUAUUUUCUGCAAGAUAUUUCUUUUUCUUUUUCUUUUUGAAAGGUACUUAGAUGGCGUAUCAAUAAGAACUUUUUGAGUACUUUAAAUCGUAAUCUAUUUUUUUAGACACUAAACUUUAAAUUAACUUUUAAAGAGCCCACUUUUAAAACAAAAAAAGCUAUGAAAUAUUGAUACCUACGCAACAACCCUUUGAAAUAUAAUAAAAAGGCAAAACAAAAACAGGUUAAAAUGGUAAAAGGCUAAUCCUUCGCAGCUUCUUUCUCUCUACCUACUGGCGAUAAGCAGCAAAUUUCAGUAUAUUAAACAUGUUAUAUAAAUUUAAAACUCUUAAACACAGUUACGAAGUCAUAAAAAUACAAACAGUCUUUUAAUUAAAUAUGGUAGGUGCAUUAAUUAAAUCUCAAUGGCCACCGAAGUUGACUUAAAGGAGUUGAUAUAUAGGAUUGAUAAAUCAGUUUUUAUAAUAUCAUCAUUCAUUUUAUUAUUAAAAAUUAAUAAGAUACUUUCUAAAAUUAUUGUUUAUAUAUUUUUAUAUUAGACAUAUUGAUAAUUUAUUUUUUAUUUUACAAACUAAAUUAAAAAAUUAAUAUAUUUUUAUUUUUUAAAUAUUUUAACAACAGUGUAACCAAUAAUUUCAUUACAUUUAAAUAAAUAUAUAUUUUCCCCAUCCUUGAAAGCUUCAAUCAAGACUUCAUAAAAGACCAGGCCCCCUUGUUAGUUUACAAAAAAAGGGAGCUUCGGAAAUGGAAGUGGAGUCUGUCUUGCUUGCUUUGCUGUUGAUAAAUGCCCUUACGUUUUCGCAGCUUAAUCUGGCAGUUGAGGCGGCUGAGUCUGUUCCUCUAUCACCAUCGGAUGAUUUCUCGAAAGAGUUGAAAGCUUUAUCUAGGAGGAGUCGGCGAAUAACUCCACCAUCACCCAGGAUUAAUGCUCCUGUUCACUUCAAAAGCCCUCCUCCAUCACCUCGACCUCCUCCGCCGCCACGGUCACCACCACCUCCAUGUCUGUGGCGUCCACCUACUGCGUUUGGAUAAGACGAUUGUUUCCCAGGUUACACACAGUUGAUGAAGCUCUCAUGUCAUCAGCUUUUGUUUGUAAAUUGUAAAACUUUAAAGUGCUUGUAUGUUAGCAGCAAAUACCAACUUUGUUUAGCUCUGAUAAUAAUUAAAUUUGUAAUGAUAAAAAUAAUAAUAUGUUAAAUAUAAAAAUGAAUAAAUGUAUGCAUCACUUUCACUUAAACACUCUUUAAGAAAUUGUUUAAUAAGUAUCCCUUGUCUUCCCUUCCCAUCUCUUUGAAGUCUCCCGACCAUCUCUAUAUGUAGCAUAAAUGAUGAGCAGCCCUCCAUCAACGAGGACCCGGGUCCUCAAAGGCCAACUCAAAAAAGCAUCUCAAUCUAAGAGAGGAGGGUAGCCUUUUCAGUGCAGUGCUUUCAGGGUUGAAUGAGCAUCGAGGUCUUUCGAGAUUGGGGUUUUCUCGUAGGAAAAAAAUGAAAAAAUCAUCUUGAUAAUAGUCCUUUUAUAGAUCGGGUGGACAAAGGAAUAGCAAGCCUUUGGAAGGAAGAAAAAGCUAACAUAUGGACGAAGAUCGGGUGAAUGAGAUAAUUCCCAGAUUCAUUUCAAAAACCUCGAGAUUAGCCUUGGCCGAACACAGGUAAACCGUCCAGACCCCACUCAAACCAUAGUCCCCUCAAAGGCCAACUCAAAAACAACAAUCUCUACGUCUAUGGAGCCUGGACUGCAGAAACUGAGAAACCUCCAAUUCCAAGCUCCCUGGUUCGGUGCAACUUGGACUUUCUGGGAAGGGCAUUAAAUACCCAACCAACAUAUUUAUUUUGGCCACUUCACUCUAGAGGGAUCAUGGGCCGAGUUUGUGCCGGGUUCAGAUAAAAUUUUAGGCCCGUUUUAUUAGCCCGGAUCUGACUCGGUCUGGCCCAAAAUAUAGAUAUAAAAAUUUAUUUAAACUUGGCCCGAAAAAAUUAUUAAGCCGAGCCUGACUCGGCCUAUAUUAAUUUUUUUAACUUAUUUCAUUAAAUAAAAAAUUUAAAACAAAUAUUAAAACAAAAAACAAAUAAAAAAUGAGACUAAAACAAUUCUUAAAACAAUACACAAAUUGAAAAUAUAAUAAAAAGUGAUUAUAUUAAAAUUGAAACAAAUUAGAACUAAAAUAAUAACUAAAUUAAUAAUAAAACAAAAGUAUAUUUGAUUAAAUAUAAAAUAUAUAUAUUUAAUAUAUAAUUCGUGCCAGGCCGGGCCGGGUCUGGCCCAAAAAAAUUUUACCUGAGGCUUAGCCCGUUUUCUAAACGGACCUCAUUUUUUUGGCAUAAACUUAUAUUUUGAAUAUAUAUUUUUAUCUAAAUCUUUUUAUUUUUCAAGUAGAUUAUCGGGCCAGGCUAAAUAACUUAACCCAUGAUCACCUCUACUCCACUUCAGUAAUCAUUUGACUGCAGCCAAACCAAUAUCAAGUUGAUGGGACUGGGGGUCAAAAUUCAUGCACCAAGCAAUCUACGCUGCUAGACCCAAGACCAUUCUUCAGCUUGAUGAGCCCAAUGACCAGAGCCAAUGCUCUACGACUAGCUCCAUGAAACCCAAAAUGCAGCAAGAGACUCAUUGUAACGCCCCACUUUUGUUGUGUUUAGAUUGUUAAAGUAUGUUAAAUAAUUUAAUCUGGUAUGUGGUUAAGCGUCUUAAAUGUUUGUUUUAGGUCUUGACUUUAAUUCUUUUAUUUUGGAUUUUUUAUUAAUUUUGAUGUUAUGUUAAGCUUGACGUUUUAGGCUUAUCUUUUUAUUUUAUUAGAUUGUUGAUAAGGAUGAGCUUAUUAAUCUAGUAAACCGUCCAUUAUUCUCUCACCCCCUUCCACCUUUUUUCUCCCUGUUAUUGUUUUCUAUUUGGUUCUUUCCUCUCUUUUUUCUUUUUUUCCUCUUUGAGCUUUUUUCUUUUCUUUUGCUUUGAAUCUCCGAUUUCGAUUAUAAUCCAAAGAUAACGUAAGUUUUGUUAAAUUAUUUUGUUGUUAUUUUGGUGUUAAUUCGUUGUGCAAGGGUGAAAUUAUUAGUUUAAUCCUUUUAAUAUAUUAUGAUAAAUAUUCUAUUGAUUCUCUUAUCAGAUUAAAGGGAUGUGAAUCGAAACCCUAAAAUUUUUGGACUAUUUAUUUUAUAAUUUUAAAUGAUAAAAAUAUUAUAUUUUUAUAAAGAUAUAUACUAUUCAAAUGAUGAAAUUAUAUUUUUAUUUUUAUAAAAAUUAAAUUUUAAUUUUAACAUUCUUAAAAAUAUUUUCUACCUUCCCCUCUUCCCUUACCGAUCAUAAACAUGGACAUCAAUCCUAAACAUGGACAUCAUAUGGCGAACAAAAUUUAUAUAAAUUUAAAAUUUUUUAAACACGGUUAUGUUUUUCUCCAGGUUUGUCCUAACCUCACUUGGCACCUUUUCCUCUUACAUAUCUUGAAAUAAGGGAUGUAAAAAAUAUGAAAAAAUUGCAACAAAUAGUUUUGAUAGUAUGCUCCGAGUGUAGCAUUUGGUGUCUGCUGGUUAUUAGUGUUUUCUUGUGUGUGUCGACUGUUGGUGUUUCUUAUGGAGGAAGGGUUAGCAGAUCUGCGUUUAACGGAGGAAGGAGACAAUAAGGAGUUGGAAGCUUGGGAGAUUGAACAGAAUAAGGAGAUAGAAGACUCUUUUUCGGAGUUGUGCUUGGUAGGGUGUUUUCUAACAGCAACUCUGAUAAAUUUUUAGGCUAUGCGGACUGUGAUGGCAAAUCUGUGGCAUUCUUUGGGGGGAGUUUCCAUUGCAGAUGUGGGUGAGAAAAGGUUUGUCUUUCAAUUUUAUUGUGAAAUGGAUUUUGAUAGGGUGGUGAAGGGCGCUCCUUGUACUUUUAACAACCAUUUACUUGUUUUUCAUCACUUAAAACAAGGCAAAGAUCCCUUGGAAGUGGAUUUAUUAUAUACCAAGUUCUGGGUUCAAAUUUAUAAUCUGCCACCUAGUUUCUUUACGGAAGCUAUUGCUAAAUAGUUUGGAGAUUUUAUUAGAGCCUUUGUGGAGUACGAUGUCAAAGCGAUUAUGGAGGGAUUAAGAAAUUAUAUGCGGAUUAGAGUUAAAGUUGAUAUCCGGCAAAGUCUGAAGAGAAGAAAGAAACUUAUUAUGGCAAAAAAAGAGUUCUUUACUAAUUUCAAAUAUGAAAGGUUGUCAACAUUUUGUUUUCUGUGUGGCAAGCUCGGACAUAGUGAGAAUUGUUGUCCUAUACGAAUGGUGACAGGGAGAAAGGAGCUUCCUCUUGAAUGGGAUAUCUCGCUCAAAGCUCCUCCACGUAGGGCGGCGACGGUAGGCAGUAUUUGGUUAAGGGAACCAACUGAAAUUUGGGGAGUGUAUCAGGGAAUUUCUAAAAAUGAUGAAGGCAAACAAGGAAAGAAUCUGGGGGAAUUAAAUCUAAUGAGGAAUAAUGGAACGAAUUUGGGGUUGAAUUUAUAUGAAAAAUCAAAACAGAUUGUGAAUGAGGAGUUGGUGUUGAUGGAAGUUGGGUCUACUAAAGAGGAUCGGCCCAUUAUUGGAGGAGAGAGGAAAAAGAGGCCUAGACCCAAUAAUAUUCAAAAUGCCUCUACCACCGAUGAUAUGAUAUGGAAAAAUGGGUUAAUGGAGGAUGUUAAUCAAAUCAACCAUACGGCUGAACUUGCAGGGCAGGUCAACCGAGCAUUAUGAAAAUAUUAAGUUGGAACGUCCGUGGGCUGGAGAACCCACGGUCUGUUCAGAAAAUUCAGCAUGUGCUGAAAAAGUACUGUCCCCAAGUUUGUUUUUUUAUGGAGACAAAAGUAGAGAAAUCGAGAAUGGAAAGGAUAAGAAAGAAAUUUGGUUUUGCGAAUGGGGUGGAUAUUUCAGCUCAAGGAUCACGAGGGGGUCUUUCUUUGAGUUGGUGUAGUUCGAUGGAUGUUACCAUCUCAAGUUAUUCUGGGAAUCACAUUGAUGCAGUUAUUGUUAAUAGUGAUGGGGCGACAAAGUGGAGACUAACAGGGUUCUACGGUAUUCCAGAUUAUCAGUGGAGAGAUAUUUCUUGGGACUUGCUAAAGCGGCUGAGCACGAACAAUGAAUUGCCUUUGGUUGUUGUAGGGAUUUUAAUGAGAUUUUAUUUAGUUCUGAGAAACAAGGAGGUCGAUUGAGGGAAGCAAGGCAAAUGGAGGCUUUUCGAUCAGCUUUGGAAGAUUGUGAGCUGGUGGAUAUAGGGUAUUGCGGCCGAUGGUACACGUAGGAAAAGGGGAAUUUUGAGGCAAAUAAUAUAAUAGAGCGGCUUAAUAGGGGAGUGGCUACUUUGGGUUGGACUGAGAUGUUUCCGUUCUCCCGGCUCCUUCACAUUGAUAAUUCAACUUCUGAUCAUUGUCCUCUGUUGUUGGAUACGGAAUUUUCAACAAGCAAUGGUAAUUCUUCAAAUUCAGGGUGUUUAUUUCGCUUUGAAACUGCUUGGUUGUUAGAAGAUUCUUGUCAUGAGUAGGUUAGAUCUUUGUGGGACUCCAAUAAAAAUGUGUCAGUGCCUGAAAGAUUAACACUGAUGGGUGAGGGGCUCCGAAGAUGGGCUAGCCAUUUAAAGAAUGAGAGGGGUGCGAAUAUGAAGAAGCUGUCAGACUAAUUAAAUAAACUGUCUGAGGAAGAUCCUUCAGAUGACAUUCUCGAGGCUAUGAUUAAGACUAGAUUAGAGCUGAAUCUCGAGAUUGAUAAGGAAUAGCUCUAUUGGGAGCAAAGGGCUAGAUUGAAUUGGUUAAGGUAUGAGGAUCGGAACACUAGUUUUUUCCAUAAUCUUGCCUCAAGCAGACGUCGUAAAAAUAAGAUCGCUAGGCUGAAGGACCAAAAUGGGUCCAUCAAAGAUACGGACGAAGAUCUUAUGCGAAUUGCAACCAGUUAUUUUAAAGGACGGUUUGCGAGUGAGGGAAGUAGAGGAGCUCAAAAAUUUUUUGAAGGGGUCCAAAAAAUGAUAACAAUUGAGAUGAAUAGGAUGUUGCUGGAUACUUUCCGGGAGGAUGAAGUUAGGAGGGUGGUCAAGAAGAUGGGGGGAAAUAAAGCUCCCAGUUUUGAUGGCUUCCAUGCAGUGUUUUUUCAAAUAUUUUGGGCGAUUGUAGGCAAGGAUGUUACAAGCUUUUGCCUUAGAGUACUUAAUAGAGAACAACAGCUGAAUGAGGUUAAUUUUACAACGAUUGUUUUAAUCCCUAAAGUCUCAACGCCAGAUUGUAUGACAGAUUUUCGGCCCAUAAACUUAUGUACGGUGCUUUAUAAAAUUAUAGCGAAAGUCAUUGCUAACAGAUUUAAGAGAGUGUUAGAUGGUUGUAUUGAUGAAGCUCAAUGAGCGUUUGUCCCUGGUCGGCUUAUUACGGAUAAUGUCCUUACGGCUUAUGAAAUUAUACACACUUUUAAGAAUAGAAGGAAAUGGAAGAAGGGUUUUUUUGCUUUAAAGCUUGAUAUGAGUAAAGCAUACGACAGAGUUGAAUGGGGAUUUGUCACAGGUAUGAUGAGGAGUAUGGGGUUUGAUGAUAAAUGGGUGGAGUUGAUAAAUCAUUGUAUUUCUUCGGUCUCUUAUGCUGUUACGAUUAACAGAAGCUUGAGUGAGCCUUUUCAACCGGAACAGGGACUCAGACAAGGGGAUCCGUUGAGUCCCUAUUUGUUUCUUAUUUGUACUGAAGGUUUUUCAACAUUACUUAAACUAGCCAAGAGGGAUGGUCUUAUUCAAGGCGCACGUGUUUGUCGGGGGGGCCGAGGGUAACUAAUUUGUUUUUCGCGGAUGAUUACAUUAUCUUUGGAGAAGCAAAUGAGGAUGGCUGUAGGAUAAUGAAGGGAUUUCUUGAUGACUAUGAGAAAGCUUCAGGUCAAAAGAUUAAUUUAGACAAGUCUCAAAUUUUCUUUAGUUCUAACUAUUCUGAAGAAACUAGAGAGCUGUUGACAAAUUAUUUGGGUGUUAGGUCCGUAACGAGCAUGGAAAAGUAUUUGGGUCUGCCUACAAUGGUGGGGAGGAAGAAGAAUAAGGCUUUCCAAAGAUUGUGUGAUAGGCUGAGAACAAGAAUUGAUGGGUGGGAAAGUCGAAUAUUGUCUCAAGGGGGCAAAGAUGUCUUCAUCAAAGCAGUAUUACAGGCCAUACCGAUUUUUUUAAUGUCUUGUUUUUUGCUUCCAAAGUCAUUAUGUGCUGAAAUGGAAAAGAUUAUGAAUCGAUUUUGGUGGGGAAAAGGAGGUAAUAGGCAUGGUUUGCACUGGUCCUGCUGGACUGAUUUAUGUCAGUCUAAAGAGAAUGGGGGUCUAGAGAGAUUACCUGCUGUUAGAGAGGUGGAUAUCGAUCGAUGGAAACCCCCACAAGCUUCAUGGGUAAAAUUGAAUUUUGAUGCAGCCUACAAAGUUCAAUCGAAUAAGUCCCGUUCGGGGUUCAUCAUUAGAAACGAGAAAGGGGAAGUUAUGGGUAGUGGGAUUACUCUUCACUCCAACGUUUUGGAUGCGGGUUUGGCUGAAGCUUUAGCUUGCUAUCAAGGUCUCCUCUUUGCCAAAGAAAUGGGGUUAACAAAAGUAGAGGUUGAAGGAGAUGCACGGGUAGUAAUUGAGAAAAUCAAUCAGGAAGAAAAUGGUAGAGCACAUUUGGACUCGAUUAUAGCAGACAUCAAAGCAUUUGAAAGGUUUUUUCAUCAGAUUAGCGUUAAACAUGUUAGAAGAGAGGUUAAUCGAGUGGCUCAUCUCAUUGCUAGGGAGGGUUACAGUAGAUUAGAAAAUACAUUUUGGAUGGAAGACAUUCCGGCGAUGGCGAAAGAGCUGGUGGCUACUGAAGAGACGAGCAACGUUUUGUAAUCGACAGAAGGUUUUGUUCAAGGGUGUUUGGACUGGGCUGAUAAAUUCAUUGAAAGCCAUGCUUUAGUCACUAGAGAGAUUUACAUGGUGGUCUGGAGCUUUGUUUUACCGGGUUUCCACUUUACUUUUUCUUUUCUAUUGUUGUUUUUUUCAGAUGUUUUUGGUUUCUUUAACUAUUUUGAUUGGGUUUUGUUAGGUUUUAAUGGAAAUCACGGUUUUUAAUCAAAAAAAUAUGAAAAAAUUGUUCUCUUCAAACUGCAUGCCGUUAAAUUUGGAAGUGCUUGAGGUUUCAUUACGUGUCCAACUGGAGGAAAUAAUAGCAUUAGAUUUUGAAUGGGACAGAAGAGGAAUGCCUACCAUGGAAUUUUGCCUUCUAAAAUUAAACAUACUUGUACUGGAAUGCCUACCUGAAUUGAAAAGUAUUUGCAAUGUUGAUGCAGUGGUGGUUUGUGAAUCCCUUAGAUGGAUUGAUAUAAUAGAUUGUCGGAAAUUAAAAAGAGUGCCUUUUAGUCUUCCCCAAAUCCGAUCAUCUUCACCAACUCUCAUUUUCUAUUUAUGUAGCGAUAGAGGAGUGGUGGAAAUCUGUGAGUUAAAUCCAAAUUCAUUGAACUUUUUGCAAACUAUUUCACUUACCUUUGCUAUUUUUAGCCAAUAAAAUUCUUAUAUAUAUGGUUGGAAGCCAAUGCAACUUUUGGAUAAAAGCCAAAUUUAUCCUUUAAAAGAUUUUUUUUUUGGAAGAUUCUAGAAUAUAAAAUAAAGAAAUAGGAUAUUAUCUAUAAGACUAGAUAUUAUAUAUGAAUAUUCUAGUUAUUAAAUAUUUGUAAAAUUAAUAGUAAGGAUAUUGACAUGUAUCAACAAUCCAACGGCCACUAAACUCUAUAAAUAGGGGUAAAGGCUUUCAUUCUUGUAAUGAUGUAAGAGAGAAGUGUGUAUCAUAUUAUAAUUGUAUUGUGUAUUAAUAAGAGUGUUUUCUUCUUUUGUAAUUGUAAGUCUCGGUUAACCCUUAAGUUUCUAAACACUUAGUGCACUUGGAUUAGCUUUUAUAUAUAGUGCACUAAUAACUUAAAAAAUAAAAGAUUAAUCGACUUCAGAAAUUUAGUGUAGCAUUAAUUGUAGGUCCAGCGAAAUAUCCUUAAAGACAGUAUCCAACACGUCUCUAGUUAUUCAACUUGUAUUUUUUAUUCUUUAAAUUGAAUAUUUACAAGAAUACAUACCAACACUUUUAAUUCUUUGAUUUAUAUUCAUAUAUAUUUAUAUCAUCCAUAUUUAUUCAUACAUUCAAAGUUGGGAGAGCUGUUGUGAUUUCAUGAGCUUGGAGUAUUAAUUUAAUCCCAACAAAACCUUAACAAAUCAUCAGCAAAUGAGAUUCAGUUACAACUGAUUGGAUGAUCAAAGAAUAAAAAUUGUUUCUAUAGUUACGCACUGUAUCGUGAAGAUUCGAGAAUUCUAAAGGAAUAAUUGAUAAGGGAUUAGAUUGGAAAGGGAUUAAUAGAGGAUGUGGGUAACAUGGAAGCAAACUUUGCCAAGUGUCAGACUAUCCUAAGAACAUUAGUUGAUAGUUGAUUGUUUGAAAAUGUAGGAAAUGGAAGAGUGAAAAUGCAUGAUUUUGUAAUAGAUAUGGCUAAACUAAUCACCAAUGAGGUAUAUGAAUCAUGAAUUAAUAUUGCAACUUUAACCUAUGUAUAAUCAAGCUCCAACAUUUAUAAUUUUUUAUUAACUAAAAUGAUGCAAUAAAUCAAAAACAAUCAAAACUUAAAAUAAUUCAAAUUUAAUAAAAAUCAAAAUUAAAAUUAACUUUGUUGAUAUGGUAAUGCAACUAGAAGACAUGGGGAAGGACAUGGUUGUGAUUAUGGAGGUUGGUUCAUCCAGUUGGGAUAGAGAGCCAAAUACUACAAAGAGUGAGAAUGAAGAGAUAUGCAAACAAAGUGUUGAGGGGAACUUUUUUCAUCGUUCUUAGAAGUAUUUAUUGACGGGGUCCUGCAACAGCCCGAUUUUGGGUUUAGUCGGAACAGUAAUUUCAGGACCACAAAUUCGACGAGAAAAAAUCUAAUCGCCUAAAUUUUCAGGGGUGUCGGAACGGUGAUUCGAGAUCACUGAAUCCGACAAGUAAGUAAAAAAUAUUAUUAAUUUAGUGAGUAUAAGUUAAAUGUGAAGUUAAGAAAUUUUUUGAAAUAGUGAAUAGUGCACUAGAAAUAAAUAUUAAAAUAAUUAGAAUAAAAAAUGAGGUAUCGAGACCUCAGAGAUUUUAAACCGAGCCAUAAAUGUUUAUAAAAAUAUUUAUGGAGUGUUAAAAAGUUAGUAUUAAAGUUUCGUUAAGAAAUUUUAAAGUUUCGAUAAUUAAUUGAACAAAAAGGACUAAAUUGUAACAAAUCCAAAAUUAUGGUAAAUGAUUAAAUAGCUUAAAUGAUAAAAGGAAGAGGGCUUAAAAGGAAAAUAGACUCAAUGUCUAUUUGGGCCGGACGGUAAAGGCAUGAAAUCAGCAAGAAUGUACGAAGAAUUAAGGGCAAAAUUGGAAUAUUGCAAAAUUACUUAAUAAAGCUAGGAUCAAAGUGGAAUUAUCGAGAUUUCUCUUUAUUUUUCUGCAUUCUCAUCAGCUAAAACAGCAUAGAAGGGUUUUCUUAAGCUGGUUUUUCAUAUUUUUACUGCAAGUAAGUUCAAUUCUUGAUUAUUUCUUGAAAUUUUUGUGUUUUUGUGACUUUUACAACUAGGCCCACUUGUUGAAUUCAUUAGAUUUUGAUUUUAUGAAAGAAGUUGAAAGUUGCUAUGAAUAUGUGCUGGAAGUAUAUGAUGAUUUAGAAUGGAAUUAGAGCUAUCCUCAGAACACUAGUAGAUAAUUGUUUGUUAGAAAAUGUAGGAAAUGAAAGAGUGAAAAUGCAUGAUCUUGUUAGAGAUAUGGCUAAACUUAUCACUCAUAAGUUGUAUGAAUCAUGAAUUAACAUUGCAACUUUAACACAUGUAUUGUUAAGCUCCAACAUUUAUAUUUUAGAUCAAUUAAAAUCAUACAAUAAAAAACAACCAAUCAAAAUUUAAAAUAAUUCAAAUUUAAUAAAAAUAAAACCCAAAAUUAACUUUAUUGAUAUAGAAAUACAAUAAAGAGGAGAUAUGGGAAAGGACAUGGUGGUGAUUUUGGAGGUUGAUUUACCCACUUGAGAGCGGAGAGCUAAGGACUGCAAAGAGUGAGAUUGAAGAGUGUAUAUAGGCAAAAUGUUGAGGGUAAGUUGAUAGAGUAUAUGUUUGUAUGUUUGGAGAGUCAAUCAUUUCUUCAUCGUUCUUGGGGGUAUUUAUUGGAGAGGGUCUUGUGAAGGUUGUUAACAUGCUAAAUUUGCCAUCUAACCAUCAUUACGGAACGUGUGGGGAGGAUGUCUAUGAUGGGAUGAGAAUGCCUGUGAUGAGACAGAUCUUGUUAUUCAUUAUAAUACAAUAGUGCAGAGUAGUUGAGCUCACACGGGAGUUGGUAACCAACAAUAUCACGUUUUUAACAAAAGGCCAAGGGUUCAAAGUAAUGAGUAGUUCUUGUUUGUCUAGAUAGUUAGGACGAGAGAUGAAACUUGAGGCAGCCUUCCAAUUGGUGGUUGGCAAAUUUGUUGCCUAGGUGACCUUCUAACUUGUCACGUGUCCUUAUUCAAGUAGGAGUAUAAUAAACUCAAUUUUUUAAAGAUGUAAAUUAGUUCAAUCUAAGUUAAACAAGUUAAUUAUAAAAAUUAAUUCACAAAACAUUUAUGUUUUAGGAUUAUUUCCCAAGAUAUUUAUGUUUCUUUUUCUUUUUGAAAGGUACUUAGAUGGCCUAUCAAUAAGAACUUUUUGAACUUUAAAUCCUAAUCUAUUUUUUUUAGACACUAAACUUUAAAUUAAAAUAUUUAAUUAACUUUUAAAGAGCCCACUUUUAAAACAAAAAAGCCUAUGAAAUAUUGAAACCUACGCAACAACCCUUUGAAAUAUAAUAAAAAGCCAUGACAUCACAUGCAUACAAAACUUAUAUAAAUUUAAAAUUUUUAAACACAGUUACGAAGUCAUAAAAAUACAAACAGUCUUUUAAUUAAAUAUGGUAGGUGCAUUAAUUAAAUCUCAAUGCCCACCGAAGUUGACUUAAAGGAGUUGAUAUAUAGGAUUGAUAAAUCAGUUUUUAUGGGCUAUUUUACCAAUCUAGCCUAAAAAAAUUUGAUAUUUACAAAAAUGAUAUUGAUUCAAAAACAUUUACUAAAAUAACUUGAAAUGUACAGUAAAAUUAAGUUAUGAGAAAUAGAUAGCAGACACCACUUUUUUCUAUUAAAAAAAUAAUUUUUGAGGUUUUAGACACUAGAUAUGUAACACCUCCUAACUCUAAACCGUCGUCGGAACAGGGUUAUGAGAUAUUACCGGACAUAUCAAAUAAUUUACAAAUAAUUCUUAAAUAAAUAACCAACAUAUUAUAAUAAUUCAAAAAUUCAUAUAAAUUUUACUAAUUGAUUUCAUUCAUUUUUUUUAUAAAAAUUUCGGCAUCAUUUCUGCUUAUUUUUACAUAAAACCCCCUGCAAAAUUUCAAAACAUAACUAACCCAAUUCCAAUAUUUCAAUCAAGGCAUUUAUAUACUUAAACCUCACUUGACAUAUUGACAUAACAACUUAAUUAAUAAAAAUCCUAUUAUCAUUUCUAAUUAACUCAUAAAACUAAUCAAGUCAUUUCAAUUCGAGACCAAUGCCAUAAAAGACUUCUACUAUUUUACUAAUAUAAUCAUCAAAACACAUAAUAUCUUACUUUACAAUAAAACUAUAUAACAUACCAAAAUAACUAUUAUAAUUCUUAUGUACAUGCCACUUUCAUUUAAGGAAGAAAACAUCAUAGAAAUCUCUAUGCAGGAGUCGAGAUUGACCUGGAUGCUAAAUCGAGACUCAGACCCCUUUUUCAAUCCGCGCACAGAAACAACCAUACGCUGAGUAUUUUACACUCAGUAGUAUUACCAUAAUUCAAAUUAUAAUAGCAAUAAAGAAUUAUAAUUACGAAGCAUGUAACUAUCCGAUUUCUUAAAUAUCAAUUAAUUCAUAAACUUUCAUUAUUUAACAAUAGCAAUACAAUUUUUUUUAGCUAUUCUUCAUUCUCAAUCACAUAUCACAUGUAGCAAUUUCAAUCACUACAUAAACAUUAAAUUCAUGCAUUUUAUUUUCAAUAUCAAUUUCAAUUUGAAAUUUUAAAUUUUCUCAUAUUCAAUAUCACAAUCGAUCAAAUUCAUUUAAUUUUCUCAUUUCAAUUAUUCACCCUAUUAACAAUCUGGACUUUGACGGAUACAUGGAUUCCAACCCAAACACACUAGUACAGCACAUUGUGCCUAAAACGGUACAUAGUACCUGAUCAGUAUACGACACAUAAGUGCCUGAAACGACACACGAGGUGCCUGAUACGACACAUAAAGUGCCUGAUCGGCAAAGCCGAUAAAUCCCGUACUCUUCCAAAUCCUAUGGCAUGCCAACUAUAUCCGACUUAGCCCGACUAGUUAAUAGGGUAUUCAAAUUCUCAAUUCUCUUUGAUUUUCAAUUCAAGAUCACUUUUCCACUUUCUAAUCAAUUAACAAUUUAAUAUCAAUACAUAUUUCAAAUAAUCACAUAUAAUCAUAUUUCAAUUCAAUUCAAACCACUUUUCAAUCAUUACACAAUUCACAUAUUCACACAUAUUCAUAAAUUAAUUCACUUUAUUUAAUUCAUUUUUUAAAUCCAUUUUUUAAUCAAAUUCAAAUCACUAAAUACUUUUUAAUCAAUAUACAUUUCAAAUACUCACAUAUUUCCAUCAUUCAAUUUAAUUUGAUUCAAUUCAAGUCACUAUUAUCAUUCCAAUUGCUUACCUAAUUUUACUUACCAUGCAUUUUAAUUAAAAUAUAACAAUUAAUAAUAAAUAGAUUUGAAUUAUAGUAAUACAAACCCGAAUUUGCUCGAUUAUUCCUCAACGACCUUCUUCUUCCCUUUUUGUGGCGAUACCUCGAAUUAUUUAUUAGCUACGAAAAUUAAAUAAUUAAAUAAUUAAUUACAGCACAAAUUUUACAAUAAAAAUAAAAUUUCUAUCAAAUUUUAUAUUUUAAUUCCAAUUUAAUCCUAACUAGAUUUAUCUACUUUUCUAAUCUAAUUCAUACUCUAUUUCUAUUCAAAUUUCUUAUAAACUCAAAUUUAUCUACUAAUUUUCAGCAUUUUUCACUAAUUUUGAAUUUUCCUCAAUUUAAUCCCUAAAAUUCAAAACUUAUAGUUUAGUUUAAAAUUCAAUCCUUUAUUCAAUUCCAAAUAAAAUUUCUAUUAAAUAAAUCCUCAAUUCCAUCAUUUAUUCAACAUAAACCCUACUCAAAAAUCUAUUAACUUUCAAAUUUUCAACUUAAAUCCAAGAGUAUUUCAUUCUAGGAUUCCAAAAACAUCAAAUUUAUGAGAAAAGGACUUGAUUUAGUUUACCUAUUAAACUUCAAGCUUCAAAAUCUCAAUUUUCCCCCUUUCUUUUCUUUCCCUUUUCUUCCCCUGUUUUCGUCUCUUUCUCUGUUUCUUUUCUGUUCUUCUUCUCUUUUUCUGUUCUUUUAUUUCAUUUGUUUUCUUUUACUUUUUGUUAUAAUAAUAUAAUAUAUAAUAAUUAGUAUAAAUAUCUUUUACCACACAUGUCAUAUUCAUAACCAUACAUUUGUCUUAAUCUUAUUUAUUUCACAAUAUAAUAAUAUAGAAUAAUUUAUGCCGCCUCAAAUUUGGCAAUUAGCAUUAUUGCCCAUUUGACCCCUAUUAUUUUCCUUUAAUCUAUAAUUAAACUUUCACUUCUAUUGUAAUUUAAUCAUUUUUACUAAUUACUCUUAAUUAGACUAAAUUCACCUAAUUAAUACCUAAUUAAGCACUAAAUUAAACUCAUGAUUACUUUUAAUAAUUAUUUUCGAACUCAAUUUACUAAGACGGAGGCCCGAUAUUAUACUUUUCCGAUGCCCGUGAAUUUUUGGGUCAUUACAAGAUGGUUGGCACAAUGUAUUUUUUUUCAAAAAAAAAAUUUUUGGGUACUGGCACACUGAUGGCCGGCACCCCUUUAUCUGAUUAAAAAAAUAUUUUUUGGGGGGAAAGUGGUGCCGGCCAACAAAGGGCCAAAAUCACCCAACAAAAAAAAUUGGAAAUAUUUCAACAUAACCCCUCCUUGUUUUCUCAUCUUUUUUAUUUCCCAAAUUUAAUUACAUAUUUUAUAUUUUAAAACAAUAUUGAACUACUUAUCAUAUUUUUUAAUUAUUAUUGCACCACUCAAAUUAUUAUUAAAUUUAAAAACUACUUUAAAAUAUAUUGAACUACAUAUUUUAUAAAAUUUAAAAUUUUCAUGAUUGAAUUUUUCCAUCUUUUUGAAUUUUCAUAUUUUUUAAAAAUUUUUGUUUUUAUUUUGUUAAAUGUAACUUGAUUGUUGUUAAACUCAAGUAUAAAUAAUAAAUUAAGCCUAAAAAAAUAUAUUUAUUUUUAAAAAUAUUUAUUAAUUUUAAUACUGAAUUUUAUAAUUGUGAAAAUAUAUUAAAAUGCUAAAUACAAUAUCCAAAAUGACAGUAAUUGAUACUAAACUAGUUAAUUUUCAAAUCAAUAAUUUAAAAUUAAUUUAAAUUUAAUAUGCACAAUCAAAUUAUAUGUUUUUUUUAUAAAAUUAGAAUAUGCUUUUAUGAUUUUCAUCCUUUAUAAUAAUUCAAAUAAAUAUUGCUAAAUUAUUUUUUAUUUUAAAAAAUAAUGAGUAAUAUAUUUAUAAAAUAUGUAGUUCAAUAUAUUUUAAAUUAAUUUUUAAAUUUAAUAAUAAUGUGAGUGAUGCAAUACUAAUUAAAAACAUGAUCAUAUUAUUUUAAAAUAUAAAAUAUGUAAUUAAACUUGGGAAAUAAAAAAGAUGAGAAAACAAGGAGGGGUUAUGUUGCAAUAUUCCCAUUUUUUUUGUUGGGUGAUUUUGGCCCUUUGUUGGCCCACACCACUUUCCCCCAAAAAAUAUUUUUUAAUCAUAUAAAAAAGGUAUCGGCCAUAAGUGUGCUAGCAUCCAAAAAAAAAAUUGAAAAAAAAGACAUGGUGCCAGUCAUCUAGUGUCCAAAACCUCAAAAAUUAUUUUUUAAUAGAAAAAAGUGGUGCCGGCCAUCUAUUUCCCAUAACCUAAUUUUACUGUUUAUUUCAAGUAAUUUUGGUGAAUGUUUUUGAAUCAGGGUCAUUUUUAUAAAUGUCAAAUUUUUUUAGGUUAGAUUGGUAAAAUAGCCGUUUUUAUAAUAUCAUCAUUCAUUUUAUUAUUAAAAAUUAAUAAGAUACUUUUAAAAAUUAUGGUUUAUAUAUUUUUUAUAUUAGAAAAUUUUGAUAAUUUAUUUUUUAUUUUACAAACUACCUUAAAAAAUUAAUAUAUUUUUAUUUUUUUAAAUAUUUUAACAACAGUGUAACCAAUAAUUUCAUUACAUUUAAAUAAAAAUAUCUUUUCCCCACCCUUGAAAACUUCAAUCAAGACUUCAUAAAAGACCAGGCCCCCUUGUUAGUUUACAAAAAAAGGGAGCUUCGGAAAUGGAAGUGGAGUCUGUCCUUGCUUUGCUGUUGAUAAAUGCCCUUGCGUUUUCGCAGCUUAAUCUGGCAGUUGAGGCGGCUGAGUCUGUUCCUCUAUCACCAUCGGAUGAUUUCUCGAAAGAGUUGAAAGCUUUGUCUAGGAGGAGUCGGCGAAUAACUCCACCAUCACCCAGGAUUAAUGCUCCUGUUCACUUCAAAAGGCCUCCUCUAUUACCUCGACCUCCUCCGCCGCCACGGUCACCACCACCUCCAUGUCUGUGGUGUCCACCUACUCCGUUUGGAUAAGACGAUUGUUUCCCAGAUUUCACACAAUUGAUGAAGCUCUCAUGUCAUCAGCUUUUGUUUGUAAAUUGUAAAACUUUAAAGUGCUUGUAUGUUAGCAGCAAAUACCAGCUUUGUUUAGCUCUAAUAAUAAUUAAAUUUGUAAUGAUAAAAAUAAUAAUAUGUUAAAUACAAAAAUGAAUAAAUGUAUGCAUCACUUUCACUUAAACACUCGUUAAGAAAUUGUUUAAUAAGUAUCCCUUGUCUUCCCUUCCCAUCUCUUUGAAGUCUCCCGACCAUCUCUAUAUGCAGCAUAAAUGAUGAGCAGCUCCCCAUCAACGAGGACCUGGGUCCUCAAAGGCCAACUAAAAAACAACAAUCUCUACGUCUAUGGAGCCUGGACUGCAGAAACUGAGAAACCUCCAAUUCCAAGCUCCCUGGUUCGGUGCGAAGGGCAUUAAAUACCCAACCACCAUAUUUAUAUUGGCCACUCCACUCUAGAGGUGAUCAUGAACCGGGACAGGUCCGGUUUGAGUCAGGUCCGGAUAAAAUUUUAAGUCCAUUUUAUAGGUCCGGACUCGACUCGGCCCGAAAUAUAGGUAUAAAAAUUUGUCUAAGCCCCGCUCAAAAAAAUUGUUAAGUCCGAACUCGACCUAGCC